UACGUAGGGUGCGAGCGUUGUCCGGAAUUAUUGGGCGUAAAGAGCUCGUAGGCGGCCUGUCGCGUCGGUUGUGAAAGCCCGGGGCUUAACCCCGGGUCUGCAGUCGAUACGGGCAGGCUAGAGUUCGGUAGGGGAGAUCGGAAUUCCUGGUGUAGCGGGUGUAAAAUGCGCAGAUAUCAGGAGGAACACCGGUGGCGAAGGCGGAUCUCUGGGCCGAUACUGACGCUGAGGAGCGAAAGCGUGGGGAGCGAACAGG
rnacentral:rRNA from 1 species